CCUACGGGAGGCAGCAGUAGGGAAUCUUCCACAAUGGGGGCAACCCUGAUGCAGCAACGCCGCGUGAGUGAAGAAGUAUUUCGGUACGUAAAGCUCUAUCAGCAGGGAAGAAGAUGACGGUAACUGAGUAAGAAGCCCCGGCUAACUACGUGCCAGCAGCCGCGGUAAUACGUAGGGGGCAAGCGUUAUCCGGAUUUACUGGGUGUAAAGCGAGCGCAGACGGUGGGACAAGUCUGAAGUGAAAGCCCGGGGCUCAACCCCGGGACUGCUUUGGAAACUGCAUGACUGGAGUGCUGGAGAGGCAAGCGGAAUUCCUAGUGUAGCGGUGAAAUGCGUAGAUAUUUGGAAGAACACCAGUGGCGAAGGCGGCUUGCUGGUCAGCAACUGACGUUGAGGCUCGAAAGCGUGGGGAGCGAACAGGAUUAGAUACCCGUGUAGGC
rnacentral:rRNA from 1 species